AAGACCUUGCGCUUUUGGAGCGGCCGAUGUCUGAUUAGCUAGUUGGUGGGGUAAUGGCCUACCAAAGCUUCGAUCAGUAGCUGGUCUGAGAGGACGGCCAGCCACACUGGGACUGAGACACGGCCCAGACUCCUACGGGAGGCAGCAGUGGGGAAUUUUGGACAAUGGGCGCAAGCCUGAUCCAGCCAUGCCGCGUGAGUGAAGAAGGCCUUCGGGUUGCAAAGCUCUUUCAGCCGGGAAGAGAAGGCUGCGACUAAUAAUCGCAGUUCAUGACGGUACCGGAAGAAGAAGCACCGGCUAACUACGUGCCAGCAGCCGCGGUAAUACGUAGGGUGCGAGCGUUAAUCGGAAUUACUGGGCGUAAAGGGUGCGCAGGCGGUUUUGUAAGUCAGAUGUGAAAUCCCCGGGCUUAACCUGGGAACU
rnacentral:rRNA from 1 species